rnacentral:rRNA from 1 species
UGGCAUCACUGAGUUUUGAAAGAAUUUCCGUGGAGGAUGACUUCCCGGCCUAUCAGCUAGUUGGUGAGGUAAUGGCUCACCAAGGCAACGACGGGUAGCCGGCCUGAGAGGGCGACCGGCCACACUGGGACUGAGACACGGCCCAGACUCCUACGGGAGGCAGCAGUGGGGAAUAUUGGGCAAUGGAG